AUACGACUUCUUUAGAUCAUCAUCUGUUGCAUUCUUGUUCACUUUCAAUAUAUUGUAGUAAUCAACCCCCAUUCUUUUCUCUCUCUAUUCAAGAACCCAACAAUCUACCUAUCACCUAUCAGAUCCAAAUACUGUACAUCAGUCAAAUUACAACAUUUCCACCAAAACCCAGAUCAUCAAAGCCAUUCCUUAUCAUAUAUCCACCUAAAUCAUUAAAACAAGAUCUCUAGAUAAAACACUUUCUCUUUCUCACUCAGACAAUGAGAUCAAAAAGAAAUGAGAUCUUUCUAUGAAGUACAGAUUCUCAAUUUUUAGACGUUGACGUAGGAAUGAAAAAUCAAGUUGGAAAACACAUUGAUCUGGGUCCUUUCUCCUUCAAGAGUUCGUCUGAAAGGAAAUUGAAUGUUAGAAAGGGUAUGUUUUUUGAUUUUUUAAGACCACGUCAGAUGGAAAUAUUGGAUUAAGGAUUAAUAACCGAAACAAACGGAAGAAGCAUUAAAUGACUCUUUCAGCGUUUGGUCCUAAAAAAUUUGUUUCCUUUUCUGUUGUUUUGU
rnacentral:misc_RNA from 1 species